rnacentral:lncRNA from 1 species
UGCCCCUGCCAUCUACAAACCCAAAUGACAAGGUGGUGAUCUUACCCAUCCCAUACUUCCAGAUUUACAGGGGUAAGAAGGGGCUUCACGAAUUCCCAAAUGGGUAAGAUCACCAAAAAAUAACACACUUCCACAUAUCUCAAAACAGACUCCAGCAACCAUUCACAGAGAUGUCUUCAAGGCAAGGUCUUGGUUUCUUCACACCUGUUGAUGAGCGAAGCCUCACCAUGACCUGUGAAGGAAAGAGGUCCUCCAGCUCCUCUGCCUCCAGGUAGGACAAGGAGAGGCAAGGAGAUCUGCCUGGAGCUGCAGGCAGCUGGUGACAGAGCCAGAAGCAGACAGCCCUGUUUCUGACCUCCAGGCCCACAUCCUUCUGCUUCCAGACCGUCCUUCUGUCACUGCAGAUUAGAUGGCUGAGCACUACAACACAGUGAGAGCAGAGGUAUAAAAUAACACAAGCAAAUGGCCGUGUUGGCUUUGCACUGUAGUUUCGUGGGCUUAGUAAUGCAUGCUCAGAUUUGUAUUUACCAAACAUCCUGUGUUAGGAUUGCCCCGGAGUCACUGGCCAUAUUUCUCUAUGCACCAGCCUGUAAUUUGUGAAAACACUACUUCUGCUUCUAUUUUUUGCGACGUGUUUCCUAUCAUUUCCUUCAUGGUUAUCAGGGCUGGGUAGUUCUGCAAGAGCUCAGUCAGCGUGAGAGGAACCAGCAGUAUGCAGGGAAAAUGACAGUAAUGGCAAACUUCAAAAGGUUCAGAGGUUCAGACAGAGGCGUAAGCUUAUCUGAACCUCUUUGGUGUGGAAAUUGAGACGGAGUCUCAUGAAAAAACCAACUUGCUCGUAAGACAUCUGGCAGAUCAGAGUUUCAGCUGGGUUUGAAGUAACUUGAGAGUGACCUUUCCUACACUGCUUCCCUAUUCCUCCUUCCUGUCCACUACGAAUGAGAAAUCACAGAAGCUCCUGAUGGUUUCAGUACUUGGGGGCAGGCUGCCCACUCCCCUGUCCUUUUUCCUUUGUUGUUUUACAGACACAUUAAGGGGCUGUGGCUGUAAGCAGCAAAAAUCCCAGCCAGCCAGAGUGUCCUUUUCAAGCCUUGUGAGAAUGUUUUGGGUGUUUUUGGAGUUUGAGAGAGGAAGCACACAGAAGGGUCAUUUUUCGCAGCCUGUGAGACCCCGGAAUUGCAGAUGA